rnacentral:rRNA from 1 species
UACGGAGGGUGCAAGCGUUGUCCGGAUUUAUUGGGUUUAAAGGGUGCGUAGGUGGUUUUGUAAGUCUGGUUUGAAAGCGGGUGGCUCAACCAUCCGAUGUGGCUGGAAACUGCGGAACUUGAAUGUGUUGGCGGAAGCCGGAACGGGUCAUGUAGCGGUGAAAUGCAUAGAUAUGACCCAGAACCCCGAUUGCGAAGGCAGGCUUCCAGGACAUGAUUGACACUGAGGCACGAGAGCAUGGGGAGCCAACAGG